rnacentral:rRNA from 1 species
AACGAACGCUGGCGGCGCGCCUAAUACAUGCAAGUCGAGCGAGAAGACGUAGCAAUACGUUUGUAAAGCGGCGAACGGGUGAGGAAUACAUGGGUAACCUACCCUCGAGUGGGGAAUAACUAGCCGAAAGGUUAGCUAAUACCGCGUACGCUCCUUGGACUUCGGUUCAGGGAGGAAAGCGAUACCGUGGGUAUCGCGCUCUUGGAUGGGCUCAUGUCCUAUCAGCUUGUUGGUGAGGAACGGCUCACCAAGGCUUCGGCGGGUAGCUAGUCUGAGAGGACGAUCAGCCACACUGGCACUGCGACACGGGCCAGACUCCUACGGGAGGCAGCAGUAAGGAAUAUUGCGCAAUGGGCGAAAGCCUGACGCAGCGACGCCGCGUGGGGGAUGAA